GGAGGUUGUUCCCUUGAGGAGUGGCUUCCGGAGCUAACGCGUUAAGUCGACCGCCUGGGGAGUACGGCCGCAAGGUUAAAACUCAAAUGAAUUGACGGGGGCCCGCACAAGCGGUGGAGCAUGUGGUUUAAUUCGAUGCAACGCGAAGAACCUUACCUACUCUUGACAUCCAGAGAAGAGAGUGCCUUCGGGAACUCUGAGACAGGUGCUGCAUGGCUGUCGUCAGCUCGUGUUGUGAAAUGUUGGGUUAAGUCCCGCAACGAGCGCAACCCUUAUCCUUUGUUGCCAGCGAUUCGGUCGGGAACUCAAAGGAGACUGCCGGUGAUAAACCGGAGGAAGGUGGGGAUGACGUCAAGUCAUCAUGGCCCUUACGAGUAGGGCUACACACGUGCUACAAUGGCGCAUACAAAGAGAAGCGACCUCGCGAGAGCAAGCGGACCUCACAAAGUGCGUCGUAGUCCGGAUCGGAGUCUGCAACUCGACUCCGUGAAGUCGGAAUCGCUAGUAAUCGUGGAUCAGAAUGCCACGGUGAAUACGUUCCCGGGCCUUGUACACACCGCCCGUCACACCAUGGGAG
rnacentral:rRNA from 1 species